ensembl:sense_intronic Gm43445 predicted gene 43445
AGCUGGGAUUCUGCCUCCUCUCCUCCCAAGAUUUCAGAUAAAGCCGAGGCCUUGCUGCAGCGAAUCUGCACAAUUAAAAGCUUUAAUUAGUGGCUCCUCCAUUUUCUUAGUUCUGAUGGGCUUUAUCUAAUGAGAUCUGGUCUCUGGCUUAGAUCUACUCCGAAUGACGUGUCCGCAAUGAAUGAGAGCUUCGUCGCAAACAAAACAUUUAAUUAACAAAAUUGGCCUCUAAGAGAGGGAGGGAAAGGCUGGAAGCGGGGUGUAGAGAGGAGGGGGAGGGUGGAUCUUAAAGGGACCCACGUCUGCCUGACCCCUCCACCUCCCCGAAGUCGAGGAACCCGAGGAACCGUACUACUGCCCCCUCCCUCCCGCGGCUCCCGACCCCUCGGCUCCACCCAAGAGCCAUCGAGGAGCUACGCAAACUCGGGUUCUUUUCCCCCCAACACGCUUUUCUGUACCCCUACUUCGGGCCGGGUGACUGGCGCGGAAAGUGCGGCCAGAGGAGGAAGUUCGGACGCCGUCGGGUGGGGCUCCGGUCAGAGCAGGCGAGCGGGUGGGUGGCGGGCCGGGUCCACGGUGCGGGGCCGCGAGGGGGCGAGCGCAGGGCAGGAGCCGGCGCGGUGGCGCUGGUGUCCCCGACUCUGCUCGGGCGGUUCACGUGGCGCCCGCAGCCGCAGUGAGCUGAGCUCGGGGCCGGGGCAAGGGGUUUGAAGGUGGCCGGAGGUGGAGGGUGUGUUUGGGGAGGGGAUUCGCGUUAGGCAAGGAGAAGCCGCCAAGCAGAGAGUUCAUUUCCCUGGUAAUCAACAGCAAGCUGCUAUAUUCAGAGAAUGCUGUCCCUUUAAUUGAACAGGCUAGGUAAUUAAAUGGCACUUUUCCAAUAGGACGUGCUAGGUAAAUCUAAUAGUUGGUUAUUUAAUAUCACUUUGAAGUCUGCCCACUCAAGCACAAUGACAGCACACGAGCAUGUGAACUAUUAGCUAGGAAAAAAAAACCCAGGAUCUCAAAAAUUAAUUAAAUCGCAUGCAAUUUAGGGGGAACGUUUAUCUUGAUUUGUCAUAACAGAAUUAAUUCAAGGCCUCCAAUUCACUUGGGGGCAGAUCUGUUACUCUGAAUUAACCAAGCGUAAUUUGGCUGAUUUUUUUUUUCUUCCUCCCCUCUCUAAUGCAGUGGUUGCGAUUAUGCACCCCCCCCCCCCCCCUAGGUAUAAAUAGCUUAUGGUGCUUUUAAGGUGCUUGGGCUCUAGUUAUUCCGAAGUACCUUUAAUGGACUUGGCUCCAGGCAUAAUUUCUGGGUUGCAUUUCUUUGUUACAUUUAAUAUAGCUGGUGCAGAAUUUAGAUUAAAUAUAGGAUCCUGCUGGAAAACCAAUUGCUUCUAGAUCAGUAGCCGUGGUUGUACAUUUUUCUCCUCAGAUAGGUUGCUGAUAUUUACUCGCAGGUACAAAUGUGUACCUUUCAGCCACACUCGGGGAAAUGUACCUCUCCAGUGCCUGAAAGCAGUUUAGAAAACACAGCCAGGUAGCGCUCCGUAUUGCGUGUAUUUUGCUUGAAGUAAUAAUGCGGUUGAAAAAUAAGCCCACCUAUUGGCCAUCGGAGUUACUGAAAGAUGCUAAACAUUGAUGUUAAACUUAAAAAAAAAUACAAUUUGUUUCUCCAUUUCUCAUGUCAGCAAGGAGAUUUGGAACUGAGCCUGCAGACAGGGCUCCCCACUACCUCGUUGUCCUUAGAUAGGAGCAAGACACCUUAAAAGUGGGAUUUCUCUCCAUCCUUUCCCUUUCCCCGCGUAAAGAACCUCUUGAUGUUUGUGAUUGAUUGCAUUGCCCAAAUGCUGAAAUAUUAACGACCUUCUUGGACUGAGGACCCAAAGAAAGGAAACUGAAACCAAUUCUGUCAUCACAAUUAAAGACUCCCCUGGCUUUAAUUAGCCUGACCUGGGGUAUAUCUCCCGGUUGCUUGAGUUAAAGAGAAAAGAGCCCAUUAUAGUCCAGUCUGAGACCGAUAGCUACUUAAUUGAGCACCUAAAGCCUCCAGCCUUUUAAAUCAAACACUGUCCUGGACAGUCCCCCUGGUUAGAUAAUUAACUCUCCAACGCAC